rnacentral:rRNA from 1 species
GCUUGUCUCAAAGAUUAAGCCAUGCAUGUCUAAGUAUAAGCAAUUAUACAGCGAAACUGCGAAUGGCUCAUUAUAUAAGUUAUCGUUUACUUGAUAGUACCUUACUACUUGGAUAACCGUGGUAAUUCUAGAGCUAAUACAUGCUAAAAAUCCCGACUUCGGAAGGGAUGUAUUUAUUAGAUUAAAAACCAAUGCCCUUCGGGGCUUUCAGGUGAUUCAUAAUAACUUUUCGAAUCGCAUGGCCUUGUGCCGGCGAUGGUUCAUUCAAAUUUCUUCCCUAUCACACUUUCGAUGUUUGGGUAUUGGCCAAACAUGGUAUCAACGGGUAACGGAGGGUUAGGGCUCGACCCCGGAGAAGGGGCCUGAGAAAUGGCCACUACAUCCAAGGAAGGCAGCAGG